rnacentral:rRNA from 1 species
AGUGGGGAAUAUUGCGCAAUGGGCGAAAGCCUGACGCAGCCACGCCGCGUGAGCGAUGAAGGCCUUCGGGUCGUAAAGCUCUGUGGGGAGAGAAGAAUAAAGUCGGUGAAGAGCCGGCCUUGACGGUAUCUCCUUAGCAAGCACCGGCUAACUCCGUGCCAGCAGCCGCGGUAAUACGGAGGGUGCGAACGUUGCUCGGAAUCAUUGGGCGUAAAGCGCACGUAGGCUGCGAGGAAAGUUGGGUGUGAAAGCCCUGGGCUCAACCCAGGAAGUGCAUUCAAAACUACCUUGCUUGAAUCUCGGAGGGGGUCAGAGAAUUCCCGGUGUAGAGGUGAAAUUCGUAGAUAUCGGGAGGAAUACCAGUGGCGAAGGCGCUGACCUGGACGAAGAUUGACGCUGAGGUGCGAAAGCGUGGGGAGCAAA